rnacentral:rRNA from 1 species
UGGGGAAUAUUGCACAAUGGGCGCAAGCCUGAUGCAGCCAUGCCGCGUGUGUGAAGAAGGCCUUCGGGUUGUAAAGCACUCUCAGCGAGGAGGAAGGUGGUGAACUUAAUACGUUCAUCAAUUGACGUUACUCGCAGAAGAAGCACCGGCUAACUCCGUGCCAGCAGCCGCGGUAAUACGGAGGGUGCAAGCGUUAAUCGGAAUUACUGGGCGUAAAGCGCACGCAGGCGGUUUGUUAAGUCAGAUGUGAAAUCCCCGGGCUCAACCUGGGAACUGCAUUUGAAACUGGCAAGCUAGAGUCUCGUAGAGGGGGGUAGAAUUCCAGGUGUAGCGGUGAAAUGCGUAGAGAUCUGGAGGAAUACCGGUGGCGAAGGCGGCCCCCCUGGACGAAGACUGACGCUCAGGUGCG